rnacentral:rRNA from 1 species
GACGAACGCUGGCGGCGUGCUUAACACAUGCAAGUCGAACGGAAAGGCCCUGCUUUUGUGGGGUGCUCGAGUGGCGAACGGGUGAGUAACACGUGAGUAACCUGCCCCUGACUUUGGGAUAACUUCAGGAAACUGGGGCUAAUACCGGAUAGGAGCUCCUGCUGCAUGGUGGGGGUUGGAAAGUUUCGGCGGUUGGGGAUGGACUCGCGGCUUAUCAGCUUGUUGGUGGGGUAGUGGCUUACCAAGGCUUUGACGGGUAGCCGGCCUGAGAGGGUGACCGGCCACAUUGGGACUGAGAUACGGCCCAGACUCCUACGGGAGGCAGCAGCGGGGAAUAUUGCACAAUGGGCGGAAGCCUGAUGCAGCAACGCCGCGUGCGGGAUGACGGCCUUCGGGUUGUAAACCGCUUUCGCCUGUGACGAAGCGUGAGUGACGGUAAUGGGUAAAGAAGCACCGGCUAACUACGUG